rnacentral:rRNA from 1 species
UGCAAGUCGAACGGCAGCACGGGAGCAAUCCUGGUGGCGAGUGGCGAACGGGUGAGUAAUAUAUCGGAACGUGCCCAGUAGUGGGGGAUAGCCCGGCGAAAGCCGGAUUAAUACCGCAUACGACCUAAGGGUGAAAGCGGGGGAUCGCAAGACCUCGCGCUAUUGGAGCGGCCGAUAUCAGAUUAGCUAGUUGGUGGGGUAAAAGCCCACCAAGGCGACGAUCUGUAGCUGGUCUGAGAGGACGACCAGCCACACUGGGACUGAGACACGGCCCAGACUCCUACGGGAGGCAGCAGUGGGGAAUUUUGGACAAUGGGCGCAAGCCUGAUCCAGCCAUGCCGCGUGCGGGAAGAAGGCCUUCGGGUUGUAAACCGCUUUUGUCAGGGAAGAAACGGCUCUUACUAAUAUUAGGAGCUAAUGACGGUACCUGAAGAAUAAGCACCGGCUAACUACGUGCCAGCAGCCGCGGUAAUACGUAGGGUGCAAGCGUUAAUCGGAAUUACUGGGCGUAAAGCGUGCGCAGGCGGCUAUGCAAGACAGAUGUGAAAUCCCCGGGCUCAACCUGGGAACUGCAUUUGUGACUGCAUGGCUAGAGUACGGUAGAGGGGGAUGGAAUUCCGCGUGUAGCAGUGAAAUGCGUAGAUAUGCGGAGGAACACCGAUGGCGAAGGCAAUCCCCUGGACCUGUACUGACGCUCAUGCACGAAAGCGUGGGGGAGCAAACAGGAUUAGAUACCCUGGUAGUCCACCGCCCUUAACGAUGUCAACUGGUUGUUGGACGGCUUGCUGUUCAGUAACGAAGCUAACGCGUGAAGUUGACCGCCUGGGGAGUACGGCCGCAAGGGUGAAACUCAAAGGAAUUGACGGGGACCCGCCCAAGCGGUGGAUGAUGUGGUU